GCGCGCCCCAUUGCUCCAUCUGUGAGGGCUCACCCUUCCAUAGAAGUACCUUGCCUUGCUGAAAAUCAAAAAGAACAUUUUAUAUUAGGAGGAUAUCUCUUUUGCAGCACCGAAACUUUAUAUAUAACAGCAGUGAGCCGAGAUUGCGCCACUGCACUCCAGCCUGGCACAGAGAGAGACCCCAUCUCAAAAAAAAAAAAAAAAAAAAAAAGACAGGGGUGGACAGAGGCCAGCCUUCUCAGCGCCGAUUUCCUCAUGUAAUACUUUCUCUUGUAUCCUCAGUUCUGUAUUUUUCCAGGACAGAAUACCAUGUUCCAGAUAGGGGCGGCUUCAUUCAUUCCAAGAAUGGGAAGACACGGGGAACAGAGCUGAGCGGCACAGCUGCCAACUUGUCAUCCUUAUUGUACCAUGAGUGAGACAUAAGUGUUGUUGUAAAAUGCUGAUAUUUUCAGACUGUUGUAAUCGCAGGACUCAUACAGAAGUUAAUACAACAGUAAGAGUGCUACCAUAGCACAUAUAAAAUCAAUAGGUGUGACUGCCUUUGGGCUGACUGACAGGCUGUGUGAAAACCCUGAACGAAGUUUAGACAAAUGACAAUCCAGGUAUUCAAGCCAAAAUAUUUGAUAAGACUGUUGCCUAUCAUAAAAAUACGUAAUGGAUGUCAUGAAUUUGUGUUCCUAGAUUUGUUACUGGCUGUGUUUGCUAUGAUACCACAGGAAGGAGACAGGUUUGUAAAAAAGUUAAGCUGUGGGCAGUCAGAGAUGAAAGAGACAGGAAGACAAUCCACACAAUUCAGGACUUGUACAUUUGAAAGAUGCACUCAACUCCAAUCAGUAAGAAGUAAACUUGAGAAAAGACAUGAGCCACAAAAGCCAAUGAAGACAAACUCUGGGACAAACAUCAGAUCAAGGCAGCAGUGGUGAGAGGUCAUCAAGCUCCUUGCUAAGAUUUCCCAUUUACUUAUGAUCAAGGGAAAGAGACCAGAUAUGUGGUCCCAAAGAAGCCUGUUAAGAUCACCAUACCUAUCACAAAGUUUAGACAAGAGAUGUCAUAUGUCUCAAAAAGAACUGUGGGUGUCACUAUUGGCAUAAGGAGCUGACUAAAAUCAAAUAGCUAAAAGCCAACAAGGUUUUGCAAGGUAUAUAUUUUCAAAAAUGCUAUAAGCCUAGUUUAAAAGGGACUAUAAUUAGAAGGCAAAACAAUCCUUAGGCCCUCAAUUUCCUAAUGGCAGAAAACAGGCAAAGUUGCUCACCUACCAUGAUUGACAUAUGCUCCAUAUGCCUUUCUGAUAUGGCCAAGGAAGGUGAGGAAAAAAGAAGACCUCUCAGAGAGAAGAAAUAAAGUUUUGAGAAACAAGGAUGGGUAAUCAACAGGCAGGGACUGGGACUGGAGUCCAAUCAGGAAACAUUUCCUACAUUCAGAGAUGGCAGACUUUUAAUUGUCACAGGGGGAUUAAUUGCAAAGAAGCAGUGACUUUGAGUAUCACUUCUUCUUCCUCUAUUUGACUGGGAAUGUUUAUUUUAGUAUCCCUGUUUCACAAUCAAAUAUUGGGAAUAGAUAGAGAAUACACUUAUAUUAUUAUUUCAUGUUUCCAGAUCAAAAAGAGCUGCAUCUGCGCCCGAUUGAGAUAAUGAACUACAGGACCUCACAUAUAAUGUCUUGAUUGAAAGAGCCAUUUGCUUUAUUCCUAGGGAAGUACUGAGUGUAUUUUUCAUGCAGGGAGAAAUCAAUUAUGUGCCAUCAAGAGCACAGAUAGGGGUAAUUGGCAUUAUUAUUUGAAUAUUGAUUCUCUCUUCUUUAAGAGUAUUACAUAAUAGUAUCUCCCAGAAAGUGAAGUAUACUUUACUACUGCAAUUUGAUUAAAUUACUCGUUUGGGAGUGAAAUAAGAGUAGACCUGACAUUUAACAGGACAGUUCAGCAGGAUCUUUGGGUGCAACUAUGUAAUAUAUUUCAAGCAUUUGCCUUAAGAGCAAUAGGUCCCAGAUAGUAGUCAGUCCUAGAUUGUGUUCUGGAACUAGAAGAUAUAUGGAGACAAUCAGUCCAGUGAAAUCCAGCCUAAUCCAGUAGACCGCAGUUAACCCAGAGUUAACCUCUAACUUACCUUCAGUCAAUACAUAUAUAAACACAUAGAGUUUUUUUACUAUAACAAAAAUGAAUGCUUCCUUUUACAGUAAAGAAAAAAAUAAUCAGGAACAAUUUGGUAGAACAGGUGAAACCUAAGCCAUAUUGUGAAGAAUCGUCAUCUAAAUAAGAAGGAAAUGAAGCAAAAUAUAUUUGAAGCAAAAAUAAGAGCAAUUGCAAAGGCAAGGGACUAGGUAUAAAGUUGGCCUGUUAGAGACAAAAUACAGAAAUAAUUCUGAUUAGAGAGCCAACCGCAUAAGGGAGAACAAAAAGAAAUAGAUUA
rnacentral:lncRNA from 1 species